rnacentral:tRNA from 1 species
GGCCCCAUAGUUAAAUGGAUAUAACGGGUGACUUCUAAUCUCCAGUUAGAGGUUCGAUUCCUCUUGGGGCUA